AACGAACGCUGGCGGCGAGGAUAAGACAUGGAAGUCGAACGGAGUUAUAAGAGUAGUAAUACAAUUAUAACUUAGUGGCGAACGGGUGCGUAACACGUGAGCAAUCUGCCGGGAAGUGUGGGAUAGCUCGCCGAAAGGCGAAUUAAUACCGCAUGUGGCUAGGGGUGACAUCACUCCAAAGCCAAAGUCGCAAGACGCUUCCUGAUGAGCUCGCGGCCUAUCAGCUAGUUGGUGAGGUAACGGCUCACCAAGGCAAUGACGGGUAGCUGGUCUGAGAGGACGACCAGCCACACUGGAACUGAGACACGGUCCAGACACCUACGGGUGGCAGCAGUCGAGAAUUUUUCACAAUGGGGGAAACCCUGAUGGAGCGACGCCGCGUGGAGGACGAAGGUCUUCGGAUUGUAAACUCCUGUCAUGCGGGAACAAGAAAGUGAUAGUACUGCAAGAGGAAGAGACGGCUAACUCUGUGCC
rnacentral:rRNA from 1 species